rnacentral:rRNA from 1 species
CAGCAGCCACGGGAAUACGUAGGGUGCAAGCGUUAAUCGGAAUUACUGGGCGUAAAGCGUGCGCAGGCGGUUAUAUAAGACAGAUGUGAAAUCCCCGGGCUCAACCUGGGAACUGCAUUUGUGACUGUAUAGCUAGAGUACGGCAGAGGGGGAUGGAAUUCCGCGUGUAGCAGUGAAAUGCGUAGAUAUGCGGAGGAACACCGAUGGCGAAGGCAGCCCCCUGGGCCAACACUGACGCUCAUGCACGAAAGCGUGGGGAGCAAACAGGAUUAGAUACCCGCGUAGUCCCUGUCUCUUAUAC